rnacentral:tRNA from 1 species
GGCUCAGUAGUUUAGUUUAUAAAGCACUCAUCUAGUAAACAAGAGUAGUGUGUUCGAAUCCCACCUGAGUAC